AGAGGAGAGAAGAGAAGAGAAGAGAAGAGAAGAGAAGAGAAGAGAAGAGAAGAGAAGAGAAGAGAAGAGAAGAGAAGAGAAGAGAAGAGAAGAGAAGAGAAGAGAAGAGAAGAGAAGAGAAGAGAAGAGAAGAGAAGAGAAGAGAAGAGAAGAGAAGAGAAGAGAAGAGAAGAGAAGAGAAGAGAAGAAAGGAAAAGAGAAGAAAAGAGAAGAAAAGAGAAGAAAAGAGAAGAAAAGAGAAGAAAAGAGAAGAAAAGAGAAGAAAAGAGAAGAAAAGAGAAGAAAAGAAAAGAAAAGAAAAGAAAAGAAAAGAAAAGAAAAGAAAAGAAAAGAAAAGAAAAGAAAAGAAAAGAAAAGAAAAGAAAAGAAAAGAAAAGAAAAGAAACAGGAAAAUUGCAGAUUUAGACCAAAUUUGAGGAAUGUUUGGGCCCCUGAUUAAUUAUGAUCUAAAUUAUUACAAUAGCUGUAGCAGUGCUAGACGAAGUGAGAUAAUUCUUGUCUCAAAGCGUGUACGCUCUUAUUAUUUGAUCUGUAUUCUUCCUCCUAAAAAUCAGUCACUGCUUAUAGAGUACCCACAAUACAAUCAAACAGUCAGAUGGUGACAGAGACUGACUAAGUGAAACCUGCCCUAAGCGUGCACCCAAGAGACCAACAGAAAUCAAUCGUCUUGCAGAGGUAGGUGGCUAUACAUAAAAGCUGAGAAAAAUCAUACUGGAAGCCAUGGGAACACUUUUAAGUGGAAAAAUUGAGGGUUGCCUACUGCAGAUGCCCUUGCUACUGCAUGUACGUGUGUGCACCUGAAUCACAGAGACUGAGAGACAGGGGAAGAGAAAGAACAAGAAAAAGGAAAAAUGAAAAGGCAGAAAAAGAUAAAUCACUAGAGACAUGCAGAUGCAAAACCAUAAAGGUUAUAUUAAAUUAUUUUGAGCUUUUCGUACAACUUACAUAAUUCAGAAGUAGAAGAAAAUAAAGCCAUAAUUUAUGCACAGUUCUCCCCAGCAAGUAAUAAAAAGAAGUUAUUUUUACAUCUCCCUAUAUUGAUUGUAUUUUUAGAACACUUUCUAAAAUAAGUGGAGAAUUCAAUCCUACUCUCUGAGGCAUGUCAAUUUAUGCCCACAUAGUGGAUAGAAAGAUUGAACCCUAAGUGCAGAUCAUGACAUUCUGCUGUGAUAAAAGCUGUUUCUGUUUGCUUUAACAUGCAUGCAUAGUGGUGAAUGCCACCUGUGACACAUUGGGAUAAGUAUAACUAUCUCUAUCACAUCCAGUGAUUGCAAUACGUUGAAAGUUGUUUCUGAAAGUUACCUGAUUCUCUCUGCUUGGAUAAGUUGAUUUUCUUCAAGACUUCUAAGACAGGCAAAGGCAUAGAUAGAUACGAAUAAAUUUCACUUGC
ensembl:lncRNA